GAUGAACGCUAGCUACAGGCUUAACACAUGCAAGUCGAGGGGUAACAUGGCGGGAGCUUGCUCCUGCUGAUGACGACCGGCGCACGGGUGAGUAACGCGUAUCCAACCUGCCCAUGACUCAGGGAUAACCUUCCGAAAGGGAGCCUAAUACCUGAUGUUCUGCGACGAUGGCAUCAGAAUUGCAGCAAAGAUUCAUCGGUCAUGGAUGGGGAUGCGUCUGAUUAGAUAGUAGGCGGGGUAACGGCCCACCUAGUCAACGAUCAGUAGGGGUUCUGAGAGGAAGGUCCCCCACAUUGGAACUGAGACACGGUCCAAACUCC
rnacentral:rRNA from 1 species